rnacentral:misc_RNA from 1 species
UGUGGGAGCGGGCUUGCUCGCGAUUAAGGCAACCGGGUAUGUCAGUCAUGCCGGGUCGCUGCCUUCGCGAGCAAGCCCGCUCCCACA